rnacentral:lncRNA from 1 species
CCAUGACUAGUUCUCAAAAUUGAAAUCUCUCUCAAGUUUAGGCAUCACUGUUAUGAAUUAAGAUUUUCUCUAAACCUAAACUUUAAAAUGUUGCAGAUAUGUGAAGGUGGAGCUGCUGUUUAUCACUUCCUAGAUAUGCUAGAAUUCUAGAGAGUUUUAUCUUUGAAAAUCCUUAAAAUGUUGCAUCAUGAGUUCCUGUAUGAUGAGAGUUUAAAAUCCUACCACAGCCAUAUAUACAUGCUUAUUAGAUUAUGAACCAUACAUUUACUUUUUACUGCUUAUGAGCUUUGAGUGUGGUCAAGCUGUGUAGACCCUUUGGAGCUUGUCAUGCGGUUAAAAUCAAGAUUUACUGGCACAUUCACUCAUACAUACUACUUCUACUCCGGAAGUACGCAUCCACAUACAUCCACUCAAUUCCAUCUCCAGAUUAACCUCAAAUUAUUCUACUCCUAUCCGGGAGAGAAUAGCCAAAAACAUUAUCCCAUUCCUGUUUUUCCCUGUGAAAUAAAUGCUCGGGAUAUUUUGGUUACUACCACUUGCUACAUUAUUCCAGGAGGGUGAGUGCUCUAAAAAAAGAGAAGAAAAAGGAAAAAUAUGAGGAAAUAAAAAGGGGCAAGAGCCCGGAACCUUGAAGAAAAGGAAAAGUGAGACGAGAGGUAAAAAUGGACAAGUGUGCGACAGUAGAAUUAGGGGUACAAGAUGCCCACCUGAGAGAAAAGAAAAAAUAUAGAGCAUCUCAUUCUCCUCAAAAAGCUUCAAAGUGCAAGCAAGGUAUGGAUCCCCUUAAAAGAGCAAAAGUAGAAUUAGACUUUCACCAUUGUUAUCACCAUCAUCACCAUACACGUUUCACUCGCCACACAUGCACAUCUUGAUUUGACUUACUGACUUGUUUCUCUGCAUCCAUGGUUUGACUAUGCAAUAAAUGUCUUGUAAGUAUGUAUACUUUAUCUCCCACCUAUGAGCUCCAGAUAUCAAAACCUUAUUAGAGUAGGGUGAUAGAGAAGGCAAUGUCACUAUGCCUCAUACCACAAAUACCACAUACUUUGAGAGAAGGCAUAUACCAUCACUACAUUGGUAAGGAUCCAGAAAUACAACAAAAGAGAGAUUUGAGAGUGUCAUACAAAGGAAUCUCUGAGUUUUAUUUGAAAAUCUACAAAAACUCUAGAGCUAUAGCUGAUCAAGAAUAAGAGACAUGGAGGUUGACUAGACCGUUCUAUCUUUUAACUGCUCAAGACACAAGUGACGGUUACAAGCCCCAUGGUGAAAUGUAAAGUGAGUAAGUUUUAAGUCUUAACAGUUUACUCUAACUCAGAGAUGAGACCUCAUUUGAAAGCAUGUGUACCGUUGUUGAUAUUUGGUAACGUAAUCAGGAAAUGAUCCGCAAGCGCACGGAUAUUGGUGAGCAUUUCACCCGGGAGGUUAUCCAGAGUAUCGUAUUUAUAUUUUUACCACUAGGAGAAAGGGUGCAUCUGACUAACCAAAUCUAUUGCUACUACCCUUUCGGCUACAAAGAAUGUUUCUCGAUGUGAGCGAUGUAUAGAGAAGGCUGCAACCAUAGUCUCGUUCUUACCUUGGUAAGGAUGUUCUACUGUUCUAUGAGUAGUCAGGGGAUAUCUAUGAGUACCCUAGCCCAAACACCACGUUUACGCUAGCAAUGAUUACUCUAAACUCAGCCGGAAGAGAUUAAAGUAAACUCAUAAACCAAAUAACAAUAAAACAAGUACUUACUAGAAUUUACAAGUCGAAUUACUGAAGAAUCCUAGGAGCAAGCCUCGGCUUAGGAGACUUGAUCCCGCAGGUACAACCUCGGAGUAGACACCG